AUACACAUAUACACAGAGAGAGAGAAAGAGAGAGUCACAGACUAUCAAAUUAAAGAUGGUAAAAUAACAAAUCAUUCAAUUUAUUGUAUGUGUUUAAAACGGAACACAAAGUAGCAGAAACUAUUCACAAUAUCAACAAAGUAUUGAUUCCAAAAGUUUCCUAGCAGAGACGAAUGAUAAAGAUGGUUUCAGACGACCUUCUGUGAUGAUAACAUCGCAUGUGGGUCAUUGCAGAAGCGAUCCCACGCAAACAACUUCUUGGUUGCUGAAGAACUAGGCGUUGACAGUCAACAGUUGUUCCAUAUUUGCAUCAUCGUAGAAAGUACAAAAAAGGCUCGACAAAAAGGUGCCGCUCGCACUGAAUGAACUUCUUUUUUAUUCGCCACCGUUGCAUUUUCUACGCUUCUUUUGCGCGACAAAAGCUACACUGUGACAUGUAACGAACAUUGCUUAUACACAAUUGAUGGUAUUCUGCGUAUGGCUGAACCAAGGUUAAGUACCAAAACAUUUUCUCAAACUGAAGCUGCACCAAAAGAAGAUUGUAGACACUAUUUGGUAAUCGGCAAGUGGAAUCAUUCACAACUGUUUCUUAAGCCCCGACGAACCCAUCACUGCAGAGAAAUAUUUCCAGAUAUUUGAUAAAAUAUACCAAAAUAUACAAGAAUUACAAAGUUUGCGUCUAGUAUUGAUCAAUCAGAAUAAAAAAGCAUAUCUCCUAAAUGACUCUGCCAUGCUAAAGUUUAAAAGGACUGUCGAUAGAAUAAAAUCAAUCUUAUUUUGGA
rnacentral:lncRNA from 1 species